UGAUUUCUAAAAAGUGUAUAAAGUUUGGAAGCAAAGUAAUGGUUCAAUCAGGAGUAAUUAGCUUUGGAAGAUUGGCAUCAAGGUUGAAGACGGAGGAUAGCUGACAUCUAAGUACAUUUUUGAGGUUAUCAUCUAUUUGGUAAUUUUUAUCUUUUUUAAUUUUUUUGUGCUUGUUAUAAACUUAAUUGUUAAGAUGUAUGAAGAAUUUGAGUUAAAAUCAAUGGUUCAUUUAUUAAUUAUUGAGAUUUAAAUCUAUUAUAGGAAUUAUUUGAGAUUGAUUCGAUUUAGGAUUAGAGUCAGGAUUUUGGAUUGAUUUAAGGUUUGGUUUAGGUUAGGAUUUGGUUAGGAUUUGUCUAGGAUUUGACUGGAACUUUUUUAGGAUUUGGUUAGGGCUUAUUUAGGAUUUUUUUAGAAUUUGACUAAGAUUUAUUUAAGAUUUGGUUAGGAUUUGUUUAGAAUGAGAUUAGGAUUUGAUUAGGAUUUGUCUAGGAUUUGAUUAGGUCUUAUUUAGAAAUUGAUUAGGAUUUGAUAAGGAUUUGACUAAGGUUUGAUUAAGGUUUGAUUAAGAUUUGAUUAGAUUUUGAUUAGGAUUUAAUUAAGAUUCUUAUUUUAAUAUUUUAUUAAGAUUUUUAUUUUAAUAUAUAUAUA
rnacentral:lncRNA from 1 species